CCUACGGGCGGCAGCAGUGGGGAAUAUUGGACAAUGGGGGGAACCCUGAUCCAGCGACGCCGCGUGAGUGAAGAAGUAUUUCGGUGUUUAAAGCUCUAUCAGCAGGGAAGAAAGAAAUGACGGUACCUGACUAAGAAGCCCCGGCUAACUACGUGCCAGCAGCCGCGGUAAGACGGAGGGGGCAAGCGUUAUCCGGAUUGACUGGGUGUAAGGGGAGCGUAGACGGCGAUGCAAGUCUGAAGUGAAAGGGGGGGGCCCAACCCCCGGACUGCUUGGGAAACUGUAUGGCUGGAGUGCAGGAGAGGUAAGUGGAAUUCCUAGUGUAGCGGUGAAAUGCGUAGAUAUUAGGAGGAACACCAGUGGCGAAGGCGGCUUACUGGACUGUAACUGACGUUGAGGCUCGAAAGCGUGGGGAGCAAACAGGAUUAGAUACCCUGGUAGUC
rnacentral:rRNA from 1 species